rnacentral:rRNA from 1 species
AUAGCGGAGAAGAACCACAGGGAUUGCCCUAGUAACGGCGAGUGAAGCGGCAACAGCUCAAAUUUGAAAUCUGGCUCUUUUAGAGCCCGAGUUGUAAUUUGCAGAGGGUGCUUUGGUGUUGGCAGCGGUCUAAGUUCUUUGGAACAGGACGUCACAGAGGGUGAGAAUCCCGUACGUGGUCGCUAGCCCUCGCCGUGUAAAGCCCCUUCGACGAGUCGAGUUGUUUGGGAAUGCAGCUCUAAAUGGGAGGUAAAUUUCUUCUAAAGCUAAAUAUUGGCCAGAGACCGAUAGCGCACAAGUAGAGUGAUCGAAAGAUGAAAAGCACUUUGGAAAGAGAGUCAAAUAGCACGUGAAAUUGUUGAAAGGGAAGCGCUUGCAGCCAGACUUGCCUGUAGUUGCUUAUCCGGACUUUUGUCCGGUGCACUCUUCUGCGGGCAGGCCAGCAUCAGUUUAGGCGGUUGGAUAAAGGUCUCUGUCAUGUACCUCUCUUCGGGGAGGCCUUAUAGGGGAGACGCCAUGCAACCAGCCUGAACUGAGGUCCGCGCAUCUGCUAGGAUGCUGGCGUAAUGGCUGUAAGCGGCCCGUCUUGAAACACGGACCAAGGAGUCUAACAUCUAUGCGAGUGUUUGGGUGUCAAGCCCAGACGCGUAAUGAAAGUGAACGGAGGUAAGAACCCUUUGGGUGCAUUAUCGACCGAUCCUGAUGUCUUCGGAUGGAUUUGAGUAAGANCAUGGCUGUUGGGACCCGAAAGAUGGUGAACUAUGCUUGAAUAGGGUGAAGCCAGAGGAAACUCUGGUGGAGGCUCGCAGCGGUUCUGACGUGCAAAUCGAUCGUCAAAUUUGGGCAUAGGGGCGAAAGACUAAUCGAACUA